GAUGAACGCUGGCGGCGUGCUUAACACAUGCAAGUCGAACGAGAAGUGAAGACGGAAGCCUUCGGGCGGAAGGCUUUAUUUCGAGUGGCGGACGGGUGAGUAACUCGUGGGUAACCUGCCUCAUACAGGGGGAUAACAGUUGGAAACGACUGUUAAUACCGCAUAAGACCACAGCACCGCAUGGUACGGGGGUAAAAACUCCGGUGGUAUGAGCUGGACCCGCGUUCGAUUAGCCAGUUGGCGGGGUAACGCCCACCAACGCGACGAUCGAUAGCCGAUCUGAGAGGAUGACCGGCCACAUUGGGACUGAGACACGGCCCAAAAUCCUACGGGAGGCAGCAGUGGGGAAUAUUGCACAAUGGGGGAAACCAUGAUGCAGCGACGACGCGUGAGUGAAGAAGUAUUUCGCGAUGUAAAGCUCUACCAGCAGGGAAGAAAAUGACGGUACCUGAGUAAGAAGCCCCGGCUAACUACGUG
rnacentral:rRNA from 1 species